rnacentral:lncRNA from 1 species
GGGGCUUUCCGUGAUGAAAUUUUUUUUGGUGUUUUUGUUAUUUUAGGUUUUGCACUGCGACAUAAUUAAUGGUAAAAUUAUUCCGCGAAUUCAUUCCAGUAGUUUCAUGAUUGCGAUGGAUAAAACUAAUGCUUUCAACUAUUUACUUCAUCGCUGGCGUAGUCAUGACCAUCGCCAGCAAACGAUACCGAUACCUCAUGGUGUU